rnacentral:rRNA from 1 species
CUCCGGUUGAUCCUGCCGGACCCGACUGCUAUCAGAGUGGGACUAAGCCAUGCGAGUCGACGUAGCAAUGCGUGGCGAACGGCUCAGUAACACGUAGUCAACAUGCCCAGGGGACGUGGAUAACCUCGGGAAACUGAGAAUAAACCACGAUAGGUCACGAUUUCUGGAAUGGAUCAUGGCCUAAAUCUACAUGGCCCCUGGAUUGGACUGCGGCCGAUCAGGCUGUUGGUGAGGUAAUGGCCCACCAAACCUAUAACCGGUACGGGCUCUGAGAGGAGAAGCCCGGAGAUGGGCACUGAGACAAGGGCCCAGGCCCUAUGGGGCGCAGCAGGCGCGAAACCUCUGCAAUAGGCGAAAGCCUGACAGGGUUACUCUGAGUGAUUUCCGCUAAGGGGAUCUUUUGGCACCUCUAAAAAUGGUGCAGAAUAAGGGGUGGGCAAGUCUGGUGUCAGCCGCCGCGGUAAUACCAGCACCCCGAGUGGUCGGGACGAUUAUUGGGCCUAAAGCAUCCGUAGCCGGUUCUGCAAGUCUUCCGUUAAAUCCAGCCGCUCAACGGAUGGGCCGCGGAGGAUACUACAGGACUAGGAGGCGGGAGAGGCAAGCGGUACUCAGUGGGUAGGGGUAAAAUCCUUUGAUCCAUUGAAGACCACCAGUGGCGAAGGCGGCUUGCCAGAACGCGCUCGACGGUGAGGGAUGAAAGCUGGGGGAGCAAACCGGAUUAGAUACCCGGGUAGUCCCAGCUGUAAACGAUGCAGACUCGGUGAUGGGCUAGCCUUGUGCCAGCCCAGUGCCGCAGGGAAGCCGUUAAGUCUGCCGCCUGGGGAGUACGGUCGCAAGACUGAAACUUAAAGGAAUUGGCGGGGGGACA